GAAAAGAAAUGAGAGAGGGAGAGUUAUCCCUCCUACUUUGACAGUACUGGGGUCUAAAACAUCUAUACAUUACUUACGCUGAAAUAUUGGCAAUUCUUUUACUACAGUGUUUCUUGGAUAAAUUUUAGUCCGCAGUCAGAUCCAUACAGCUAAACUGCCAGAUCAGCAACGUCUCAUGGAAGAAGUCAUAGAGCUCUCCACAUAUAUCCAACUGCAGUAGAAAUUGAAAUCUACGUCCUAGACAACAUCCUCUUUCUAAAGCAAAACGCCACGCUAAUAUUCAGCAAUACCCUGCUAAUUAGAAAGGCCCAAUUUUUUAAUAUCAUUCCCAGCAUAUGAACAGGAAAUUACUUCCCUUACACAUCAAACUUUAAAUUAACUAUUUCCUAGGUUAUCGGAAGUCCAAAGCCAUCUGUAAUAGUUUUUGUUCCAGGAUGACAGGGUAUCACUAACAACGUCUGAUAAAAACAGAAAUUUUUAGAUACUACAGUGGUCUUAUGCAGCAUGUAAUCUUCCAUUUUCAUCAUCCCCUAACUUGCUCAUGUGUAUAUACUGACUCAUCCUUAAAUGUUGUGGAUUCUAGCUUUUACUGGCUAAAAGUUAUUUCUGACAUUAUGUCAAAAUAAAUGUGACUUGUGUUCUUAGUGAAAGCUUUUCGUUCUUAGAGUUCUGAUAUUAAAAUAAAAAUUACGAAUUGCAAAAAGCUUCCUCUCUUUUAUGGAUGUGCUAUUUAACUCGCCAACAACUGAUUCUAAAGUAGACUCACAAAGACUAUGUAAACAUACAGUCAGUUCAAAAUGAAGUGUUUUUUUUAAUACCCUGG